rnacentral:rRNA from 1 species
CCUACGGGAGGCAGCAGUGAGGAAUAUUGGUCAAUGGACGAGAGUCUGAACCAGCCAAGUAGCGUGAAGGAUGAAUGCACGAUGGGUUGUAAACUUCUUUUAUAAAGGAAUAAAACGAGGCACGUGUGCCUUUUUGCAUGUACUUUAUGAAUAAGGAUCGGCUAACUCCGUGCCAGCAGCCGCGGUAAUACGGAGGAUCCGAGCGUUAUCCGGAUUUAUUGGGUUUAAAGGGGGCGUAGAUGGGUUGUUAAGUAAGUUGUGAAAGUUUGAGGCUCAACCGUCAAACUGCAAUUGAUACUGGCAGUCUUGAGUACAGUUGAGGUAGGCGGAAUGCGUGGUGUAGCGGUGAAAUGCUUAGAUAUCACGAAGAACCCCGAUUGCGAAGGCAGCUUACUAACCUGUGACUGACAUUGAUGCUCGAAAGUGUGGGUAUCAAACAGGAUUAGAUACCCGGGUAGUC